GACGAACGCUGGCGGCGUGCUUAACACAUGCAAGUCGAACGGAAAGGCCCUGCUUUUGUGGGGUGCUCGAGUGGCGAACGGGUGAGUAACACGUGAGUAACCUGCCCUUGACUUUGGGAUAACUUCAGGAAACUGGGGCUAAUACCGGAUAGGAGCUCCUGCUGCAUGGUGGGGGUUGGAAAGUUUCGGCGGUUGGGGAUGGACUCGCGGCUUAUCAGCUUGUUGGUGGGGUAGUGGCUUACCAAGGCUUUGACGGGUAGCCGGCCUGAGAGGGUGACCGGCCACAUUGGGACUGAGAUACGGCCCAGACUCCUACGGGAGGCAACAGUGGGGAAUAUUGCACAAUGGGCGGAAGCCUGAUGCAGCAACGCCGCGUGCGGGAUGACGGCCUUCGGGUUGUAAACCGCUUUCGCCUGUGGCGAAGCGUGAGUGACGGUAAUGGGUAAAGAAGCACCGGCUAACUACGU
rnacentral:rRNA from 1 species